rnacentral:rRNA from 1 species
GUGGGGAAUCUUCCGCAAUGGACGAAAGUCUGACGGAGCAACGCCGCGUGAACGAUGACGGCCUUCGGGUUGUAAAGUUCUGUUAUACGGGACGAAUGGUACGACGGUCAAUACCCGUCGUAAGUGACGGUACCGUAAGAGAAAGCCACGGCUAACUACGUGCCAGCAGCCGCGGUAAUACGUAGGUGGCAAGCGUUGUCCGGAAUUAUUGGGCGUAAAGGGCGCGCAGGCGGCGUCGUAAGUCGGUCUUAAAAGUGCGGGGCUUAACCCCGUGAGGGGACCGAAACUGCGAUGCUAGAGUAUCGGAGAGGAAAGCGGAAUUCCUAGUGUAGCGGUGAAAUGCGUAGAUAUUGGGAGGAACACCAGUGGCGAAGGCGGCUUUCUGGACGGUGUCUGACACUGAGGCGCGAAAGCUAGGGGAGCGAACGGGAUUAGAAACCCCGGUAGUCC